UACGUAGGGUGCAAGCGUUUGUCCGGAAUUAUUGGGCGUAAAGAGCUCGUAGGCGGUUUGUUGCGUCGGCUGUGAAAUCCCGAGGCUCAACCUCGGGUCUGCAGUCGAUACGAGCAAACUAGAGUGUUGCAGGGGAGACUGGAAUUCCUGGUGUAGCGGUGAAAUGCGCAGAUAUCAGGAGGAACACCGGUGGCGAAGGCGGGUCUCUGGGCAACAACUGACGCUGAGGAGCGAAAGCGUGGGGAGCAAACAGG
rnacentral:rRNA from 1 species